AGGACGAACGCUGGCGGCGUGCUUAACACAUGCAAGUCGAACGAGGUGCUUGCACCUAGUGGCGAACGGGUGAGUAACACGUGAGCAACCUGCCCCUGGCUCUGGGAUAGCCUCCGGAAACGGGGAUUAAUACCGGACAUGACCUGAGAUUGCAUGAUCUCGGGUGGAAAGUUUUUCGGCCAGGGAGGGGCUCGCGGCCUAUCAGCUUGUUGGGGGGGUAACGGCCCACCAAGGCGACGACGGGUAGCCGGCCUGAGAGGGCGACCGGCCACACUGGGACUGAGACACGGCCCAGACUCCUACGGGAGGCAGCAGUGGGGAAUAUUGCGCAAUGGGGGAAACCCUGACGCAGCGACGCCGCGUGCGGGAUGAAGGCCUUCGGGUUGUAACCGCUUUCACCAGGGACGAAGCGAGAGUGACGGUACCUGGGGAAGAAGCGCCGGCUAACUACGCGCCAGCAGCCGC
rnacentral:rRNA from 1 species